rnacentral:rRNA from 1 species
AUACAGGGGGUGCGAGCGUUAAUCGGAAUUACUGGGCGUAAAGAGUACGUAGGCGGUUGCUUAAGUCAGAUGUGAAAGCCCCGGGCUCAACCUGGGAACUGCAUUUGAAACUGAGUGACUAGAGUUUAAGAGAGGGGAGUAGAGUUCCGGGUGUAGCGGUGAAAUGCGUAGAGAUCCGGAGGAAUACCAGUGGCGAAGGCGGCUCCCUGGCUUAAGACUGACGCUGAGGUACGAAAGCGUGGGUAGCAAACAGGAUUAGAAACCCUAGUAGUCC